UCCAUCCAAGGCUAAAUACAGACACGAGUCCGAUAGCGAACAAGUACCGUGAGGGAAAGUUGAAAAGUACUCUGAAGAGAGAGUAAACAGUACGUGAAACCGUAUGGAGGUAAACGGGUGGCGUCAAGCUGCAAGCCCAGAGGAUUCAGUUGGUCACUGUGUGUGUAUGCCUGUGUACCUCAGUCGGUUAUAGUUUGGACAGUCCACCGGUAAACGGAGGGCCCGGUCGUCAGGCCGGGAUGUACGUUCCGUCAGGUUGGCGGUGUACGCUGUUCGACUAUUGGACUGGGUGGCCAAUGCACUUCCUCUGAUAUGGUGAACACCACGAUCGGUGGUACUGCCAGUCUGGUGUAGCCAAGUUGCGCCUAGUUUGGCACCUGUGUCGACUGGGUGUGAUCACAGGCAAGUCUGGUGGACGGUGGGCUCGCCCAUGUUAUCGGUCACCGCUUGUCAACGGGUCUGCUUGCGCUGGUUGCAAUCCACGUGCAGGUGGCCUGGUGGGCUACACUGGUAUGAAUAACUGUGCAGGGCACCGGUGUUAGCGGUCUCAAACCCGAACGGCGCGCAAAUUGCAAUUGCUGGUACAUAGGUGCGUGGUCGCGGCCUGUCGGUGGCCGGGUCUGAUCGUCGUGUUGCCUGCGCAAAGUGGGUUCGGCGGUGGCCUGGCUCCGGUCGGAGUCGUGGGUCGCGUUCCUGGCGUCGGUCGGUGUGGACCGUACAAUCUGUGGUGUAGUGGUAGACGAGCUACCCGACCCGUCUUGAAACACGGACCAAGGAGUUCAACGUGCACGCGAGUCAAUGGGCGUAACGAAACCCAAAGGCGCAGUGAAAGUAAAGCUUGGACUUGUUCUCCAAGUUUGGUGAGAUCCUGCUGUUUCUCGCAUCUGCACUUGUGUAUCUCAGCACAGUGUAAAGAGCGGUGGGCGCAUCACCGGCCCGUCCCAUGAUGUGGCCAUUGGUUGGUUGUGGCUGUGGCUUCGGUCGCGGUCAUGGCUCCAGUGCGUCAUCGGGGCGGAGCAUGAGCGUGCAUGUUGAGACCCGAAAGAUGGUGAACUAUGCAC
rnacentral:rRNA from 1 species